ACCUUGAAGUGUCUGCUUCCACAGUGAUUUAUUCAUGGACAGACAAAGCCACUUGGUGAUCAUUUACAAUAGGCUGGUAGAUCUACUCACAGGAAUAUGCUCAGGGAUGG